GACGAACGCUGGCGGCGCGCCUAACACAUGCAAGUCGAACGAGCGAGAGAGAGCUUGCUUUCUCGAGCGAGUGGCGAACGGGUGAGUAACGCGUGAGGAACCUGCCUCAAAGAGGGGGACAACAGUUGGAAACGACUGCUAAUACCGCAUAAGCCCACGGCUCGGCAUCGAGCAGGGGGAAAAGGAGCAAUCCGCUUUGAGAUGGCCUCGCGUCCGAUUAGCUAGUUGGUGGGGUAACGGCCCACCAAGGCGACGAUCGGUAGCCGGACUGAGAGGUUGAACGGCCACAUUGGGACUGAGACACGGCCCAGACUCCUACGGGAGGCAGCAGUGGGGAAUAUUGCACUAUGGGGGAAACCCUGAUGCAGCGACGCCGCGUGGAGGAAGAAGGUCUUCGGAUUGUAAACUCCUGUUGUUGGGGAAGAUAAUGACGGUACCCAACAAGGAAGUGACGGCUAACUACGUG
rnacentral:rRNA from 1 species